UCCCUGGUGGCUCAGAUGGCAGAGAAUCUGCCUAUAGAGCAGGAGACCUGGGUUUGAUCCCUGGAUUGGGAA
rnacentral:tRNA from 1 species